UACGAAGGGGGCUAGCGUUGCUCGGAAUCACUGGGCGUAAAGGGUGCGUAGGCGGGUCUUUAAGUCAGGGGGGAAAUCCUGGAGCUCAACUCCAGAACUGCCUUUGAUACUGAAGAUCUUGAGUUCGGGAGAGGUGAGUGGAACUGCGAGUGUAGAGGUGAAAUUCGUAGAUAUUCGCAAGAACACCAGUGGCGAAGGCGGCUCACUGGCCCGAUACUGACGCUGAGGCUCGAAAGCGUGGGGAGCAAACAGG
rnacentral:rRNA from 1 species